rnacentral:rRNA from 1 species
AACGAACGCUGGCGGCAUGCCUAACACAUGCAAGUCGAACGAAGGCUUCGGCCUUAGUGGCGCACGGGUGCGUAACGCGUGGGAAUCUGCCCUUGGGUUCGGAAUAACUCAGAGAAAUUUGAGCUAAUACCGAAUGAUGUCGAAAGACCAAAGAUUUAUCGCCCAAGGAUGAGCCCGCGUAGGAUUAGCUUGUUGGUGAGGUAAAGGCUCACCAAGGCGACGAUCCUUAGCUGGUCUGAGAGGAUGAUCAGCCACACUGGGACUGAGACACGGCCCAGACUCCUACGGGAGGCAGCAGUGGGGAAUAUUGGACAAUGGGCGAAAGCCUGAUCCAGCAAUGCCGCGUGAGUGAUGAAGGCCUUAGGGUUGUAAAGCUCUUUUACCAGGGAUGAUAAUGACAGUACCUGGAGAAUAAGCUCCGGCUAACUCCGUGCCACGCAGCCGCGGUAAAGGU